rnacentral:rRNA from 1 species
GUUUCAAGACAAUAACCCCAAAUUUUGACUUGCAAAUUAACAUUUUCUUGCUGUGGUGGAAACAAGCUUCCACAGUUUUGGGCCUGGUUAUUACUUGGGUGGGAGACCCCCUGAGGAUAUCAGAUUCUGGAAACU